ensembl:lncRNA
CUCUCCACUUGCUUAACAUGUUGUUCCAGUCUAUACCUGUCCAGCAACUCCAGGGUGUGCCUACGUCAUAAAUUCAGACAGAGCAGAGAGUUUCUUCAGAAGUGGACUUAUCAAAGCAACAGUCUUUUUUUCAUGCACUUUUAGUGCUGUUAAUCUGAAGAACAAUGGCAGAUACAAACCCAGUGCGAUAAGAGCAAACAAUGCCAGGGUGAAGGCAAGGGUGAAGGCAAGGGUGAAGGCAAAGGUGAAGGCAAGGGAAAAGGACCAGGACAAGGGCAAGGCAAGGGUCAUGGUCACGGACAUGGUCAUGGUCAUGGUCACGGUCACGGACCUGGAAAGGAUGGAAAGGAUUGCAAAGGCAACCCAUAAUGACAAGGAGCUGAAUGAAGAGACCUCUGAAGUCUGUCUGAUACUGUUUUUUCUUGCACCAUGACUAAUAAAAUAAAACAUGUAUAAGUGUACCACAUAUGUUUGUUUUUAUUAAAUGAUAAUAAAGUGUUGGUAUCAGAGAAUGGCUUUUAGAAUCAUUGACUCUGAAAUUCACACAGAUGAAACUUCAAUGUCCAAAUAUACAACAAAAUGAAGUAGCUGUGGCAAGGUGUGCAAGUUUACACAGCAAGAAGGUGUAUAUGCUGAAACAAUGUUAAAUCAGGAAAUAAGACCUACUUGGUUUAUGAAUGUUAUCUUUUGUAAAGAAUACUGGUUAAGCAAUACAUGCAAGGUGUAGAUUCAACCAUUAAACACACAUAACUAAAACAUUUUUAUAUGUUUAAGGAGCAAGAAUGGCUCAGAGAAGUUUACAUGUCCACAAU